rnacentral:rRNA from 1 species
AUGUAGAGUGCAUUUUCUAGAGAUAGGAAUUCCCUUCGGGGCUUUCUGCAAGGUGCUGCAUGGUUGUCGUCAGCUCGUGCCGUGAGGUGUCGGGUUAAGUCCCAUAACGAGCGCAACCCUUAUCGUUAGUUGCCAUCUGGUAAAGCAGGGGACUCUAGCGAAACUGCCACCGUAAGGUGAGAGGAAGGUGGGGAUGACGUCAAAUCAGCACGGCCCUUAUGUCCAGGGCUACACACGUGUUACAAUGGUCGGUACAGAGGGCAGCUACCUGGUGACAGGAUGCUAAUCUCGAAAACCGGUCUCAGUUCGGAUCGAAGUCUGCAACUCGACUUCGUGAAGCUGGAUUCGCUAGUAAUCGCGCAUCAGCCAUGGCGCGGUGAAUACGUUCCCGGGCCUUGUACACACCGCCCGUCAAGCCAUGGAAGCUGGGGGUGCCUGAAGUCCGUAACCGAAAGGAGCGGCCUAGGGUAAAACUAGUGACUGGGGCU